UGGGGAAUCUUAGACAAUGGGCGCAAGCCUGAUCUAGCCAUGCCGCGUGGGUGAUGAAGGCCUUAGGGUCGUAAAGCCCUUUCGCCGGGGAAGAUAAUGACGGUACCCGGUAAAGAAACCCCGGCUAACUCCGUGCCAGCAGCCGCGGUAAUACGGAGGGGGUUAGCGUUGUUCGGAAUGACUGGGCGUAAAGCGCGCGUAGGCGGGCUGGAAAGUCAGAGGUGAAAGCCCGGGGCUCAACCCCGGAAUGGCCUUUGAAACUCCCAGCCUUGAGUUCGAGAGAGGUGAGUGGAAUUCCGAGUGUAGAGGUGAAAUUCGUAGAUAUUCGGAGGAACACCAGUGGCGAAGGCGGCUCACUGGCUCGACACUGACGCUGAGGUGCGAAAGCGUGGGGAGCAAACAGG
rnacentral:rRNA from 1 species